ACGAACGCUGGCGGCGUGCUUAACCCAUGCAAGUCGAACGGAAAGGCCCUGCUUUUGUGGGGUGCUCGAGUGGCGAACGGGUGAGUAACACGUGAGUAACCUGCCCUUGACUUUGGGAUAACUUCAGGAAACUGGGGCUAAUACCGGAUAGGAGCUCCUGCUGCAUGGUGGGGGUUGGAAAGUUUCGGCGGUUGGGGAUGGACUCGCGGCUUAUCAGCUUGUUGGUGGGGUAGUGGCUUACCAAGGCUUUGACGGGUAGCCGGCCUGAGAGGGUGACCGGCCACAUUGGGACUGAGAUACGGCCCAGACUCCUACGGGAGGCAGCAGGGGGGAAUAUUGCACAAUGGGCGGAAGCCUGAUGCAGCAACGCCGCGUGCGGGAUGACGGCCUUCGGGUUGUAAACCGCUUUCGCCUGUGGCGAAGCGUGAGUGACGGUAAUGGGUAAAGAAGCACCGGCUAACUACGUG
rnacentral:rRNA from 1 species